CUGAAAUGAUGUCGGAUAUGUUCCUUGUUCUUUUAUGAAGUACGCGACCCGCAGCCUUGGGUUCAGCUAUGACAUCAUCACAUUUUAGAAAGUCCUCCAGUCAUUUAACCUCUGAUGCAUUGACUCUUGGCACCUCUUCUGUUUCUUGCCUUUGGAGGCCAUCUCCGAGCUGUCCCCAUGGCCUGCCCCCUCCCACCUAGGACCCUCUCCAGCAUGCCCAGGGUUUGCCCUGCACCUCCCACACAGCAUGGACGGGCGGGCUUGUGCGUGUGAACUCCUUUGAAAUCUGUCACGUCCUAUACUGGUGUUUCGUGGAUGACGCUUUAUCAAAAGUCACUGGUCUACCUCCUUACUACCAAGUUAUAUCAAUGUAGCGUUAAACUUUUUGUUUUCGGUUUGGGGGAAAUCAUUUGCAAUAAUUUACUUUUUCUUUUUUUUUCUUUUUUUUAUUAUUUUAUUUUAUUUUUUUUAAUAAUUUACUUUUUCUAAACAAAUACAUAGGACAUCAGAAUGUGUUUUUUGGCUAUUAGUGUACCCUAAAAUAGAGUAGAACUUUCAUCCUCUCUGAAAAAAAAAUCAUGGUGCAUGAAGAUCAGCCAGUGCCUAUGAUCAGUCCUUAUCAUAUGCAAUCUGUAUUCUCAAAAUAUUUUACUCAGGGCGGGGGACACUGAGUGAGCACAUAUAUGUAGAUUUUUGAGUUCAGCAAAUAGGGGUCAGAUCCAAGGGCCUUACUUAGGAACUGCGGGACUUUGGGCAAAAUACUCCAUAUCCUGGGCCUCAGUUUCUCUCCUCCAUAAAAUGAGGAAAAUAGUAACUCUGUGAAAGGGAUGAAGAAUAAUUUAAGUAUCUGAGACAUAAGAGGUACUCAUCAAGUGAUAGCUGCUUUAAUUAUUGUCCUCCCUUGUGACUUCUUCCCCUACGUGAGGCUCCCAAAGGAACCUGGAUAUUGGCGUUAAGCUUAAGAUGGGGAAGCAGGGGUAAAAGGUAACAUGAUGCCCAGGUACACUUUGCGUUAAGCAAUACUUUAUGAAAAUUAAGACUCAAAAGCAAAAACAUAGUGAAAGGAGAGUGAAAGCAGUCAUUUGCUUUCAGAAAGAUUCUCCGUGAAGCUGUAAACUUCCCUGAGUUAUUUAAAAUGUGAGUUCAUUUUCGUGCCACUUCUGGGAAUGUAUUCUAGACAUCUGGGGUCUGUUCUCCAGGACAGACCUGGGCCCAGAAGAGACUGGGGUUCUGUUGAACAAGCAGAUUUAAGGUAGAAGUCAGGGCAUCACUGGCUCAUGGGAGGAGACAGAAGAACCGAAAGGAUCUGGAGGGAAGAGGGAAGAGGAGAGGGUCUGGAGGGGCCGCAGCCUUGGAAAGCAGGGGCAUCUCUGUGGGAGACCCCUUAGGAGGAGGGUCUGUAGUGGGGCAGGAGAUGGAAAGGAGAGGACACGAGAGAGGGGGCCUUGUGGCUGUAUGAGAAAGGCCACACACAAAUGGUUAAAAUAUUGCUUACUUCUAUUAUAUCAUGAAAAAAACGGCAGUGACCAGAGCUGCCUGGAUUAGGAAGAAAGGGUGUAAUUCCAUCUUGGGGCUUCUGGUGAGUUGAGCUUGUGGUUCUGUGGUUUAUGAUGUCACCAGAACCCCUGGCUGGAGUCACAGCCUUUUAAUUUACAACUUGGUAAAUGGGGAGGCCGAGGGUCCAUCAUGCCUGCUGGAAAUGUGGUGAAGGGACUGAGGCCUGAUCUUGGAGGGUAAAUUGAGCUGUAGCACGUCCAGCUAAGGACCCUGGCUGAGCUUCCCAUUAUCCUUUCCCACGGCCUAAUCCUGGCCUCGCGGUAGAUGCUGGGGACCGCCGGCCCAUUCUCCCUCCAGCAGACUCGUCCCUACCACGGAGCUUCCCAAGCUGCUCUGCCUAGUGCUGACCUCUGCUCGCGCCUGUGACCAGGGGACCCAUCUCCACGUUCAACAGCAUUUGCCAUCUUGGGCUGUGUUCAGUCACCGGGGGGCACUUUGAGGUCUCAGCUUCUUCUGGAGGCAGGACUUGGCCGUUGGUCUGCUUCCCGAGUGCUCCCUGGGCACGGUGCACGCUAGUGAGACUUCUGCUUCCAGACCUCCCUUGGUGUCUAUCAGUCCGUAUCUUUCACACUCGAGGCAUUUGGAUAUAUCUCACCUCCGUGAUUUCUGCCAUAGUAUGUUUGCAGCUGAUACUGUUACUUCUUAUUCUCUUUCAAAUCUGCUCACUGUUUAACAUCAACAGACAUUUGAUGUGGGAAGUUUAUACCAUCACCGUAAAUGGAAAACCAGUGUCAAUUGCCAUUAAAUGAUAAUAAUAACACAACAAAGGCACAAUCAGUUAAUGUCAGCUAGCUCUUUCUGCCCACGAGAAACUUGAGCCGGGGACCUGCUUUCUCUCUGUGAAGAGGGAGAGACAGUAAGUUUUAGAGAUGUGUUAAAGUCAUUUUCGCGUUAAACCGUGACUUUUUCCUUGAUACAAUCAAAAAAUGUGAAAGAGAAUCGAGAACAAAAUAAUGUCUUGAUUUCAUAUUAUAUAAGGCUAUGUGUGGGGACCACCUAAACCGUAUUAGGUAUCGCGAUUUUUGUCAACAAUGCUGUGUUCUGUACUUCAAAAUUGCUAAGAGACCGGAUCCCAAGUGUUCUUACCACAGUAGAGAGAUGACGGUUAUGGGACCUGCUAGAGAUGUUAGCUAAAGCCACAGUGGUAAUCACACUGUAGUAUAGAAAUGUAUCAAAUCCACAU